UACGUAGGGUGCAAGCGUUAAUCGGAAUUACUGGGCGUAAAGCGUGCGCAGGCGGUUUUGUAAGUCUGUCGUGAAAUCCCCGGGCUUAACCUGGGAAUGGCGAUGGAGACUGCAAGGCUAGAGUUUGGCAGAGGGGGGUAGAAUUCCACGUGGUAGCAGUGGAAAUGCGUAGAGAUGUGGAGGAACACCGAUGGCGAAGGCAGCCCCCUGGGCCAACACUGACGCUCAGGCACGAAAGCGUGGGGAGCAAACAGG
rnacentral:rRNA from 1 species